GUGCUUGUUCCAGCCGCACAUAUACUAAAAUUGGGACGAUACAGAGCAGAUCAGCAUGGCCCCUGUGCAAGGAUGACAUGCAAAUUUGUGAGGUGGUCCAUAUUUUU